AAGAACUUGAACGAUAAAAGCAAAUAGAAAUCCAUGAUUAAAAACACCAUCAUUUGGUCAGUAGAACAAAAAGGUUUUAACUUGUAAUGAAUCUCAACUUAACUCAACUAAUGCACCAAAAUUCCAUAAAUCUAAAGUGCUUCUCAAUGCACAUGACCAAACAAGUUACAUGAACAAGUUGGGCUUAGUAGCCUUGUAUGUGGUCUUGAGUUUCCUAGAUGGUGGCCUGACUUUCUUGAACACCAAAGGGAACUUGAUCUUGGAGUCAUGGAACUGCUUUGUGCUCUCCCUCUUGCACAGUUUAGCUGGAAUGGUUGCUGUCUUUAUGAUCUGAAUGCAGUGAUGGCGAACUCUGUGGCGAGAAGCCAUCUCAAUGUACAUCUGCUCCACACCACCAUUCAAUGUGGUGUCACGGUACUCCUUGUACAUGUUGUGGUAUCCCGUUCUACUCUGGUAACGGAGCCAAAUACCAUAAUUCUUGAUUGUUGUUGGGUUCUUCUCAAAAAUCUCAUUAAUAGCCAGCAUCUGACCGUUGCUCUUCUUCACCUUCUUAAGCUUCCUCAAGAAAUACCAGAAUUUGGACUUAGCACGAACUUCAUUUGUAGCCCACAACUUCAUACGGUAAAUCUUGGGAUGCUCAUCUGUUUCAGAGGGCAAAGCUCUCCCAACAACCUGGUACUGAUGGAACUUGUAAGUCACCAUUUCGGCAAGGCUCUCUUUCCCUCUGCACUGCGUUUGCCGCCGAAGUGAGUUUAAUAAAGAGAAGAAGAAGAAAG
rnacentral:misc_RNA from 1 species